rnacentral:RNase_P_RNA from 1 species
GAGAGGGAGAGAGCGGCUGACGGUGACUUAAUUGUCGCUGAGGAAAGUCCCCCCACCCACCGGUCACGCAGCCGUACGCAAGUACGGGUGGCGAGAGUCACGGCUAUGGCACAGAAACGACACGGCCUGUUUAUAGCAAUGAUGCGAUUGAGCCGUAAGGCAAGAAGCACAGGCAACUGUGUGAGUAACUCGCUGAGCGUCUGACAAACAGGAUACGUUGGAACGACGAAUCCCUGCGGGUGCAAGCCAGAACAGGGCCAGUGGA